CCUUGUCUCUAGUUGCUACGAAAGGGCACUCUAGAGAGACUGCCGGUGACAAACCGGAGGAAGGUGGGGAUGACGUCAAGUCCUCAUGGCCCUUAUGGGUAGGGCUUCACACGUCAUACAAUGGUGCGUACAGAGGGUUGCCAACCCGCGAGGGGGAGCCAAUCCCAGAAAACACAUCGUAGUCCGGAUCGUAGUCUGCAACUCGACUACGUGAAGCUGGAAUCGCUAAUAAUCGCGGAUCAGCAUGCCGCGGUGAAUACGUCCCGGGUUUUGUACACACCGCCCGUCACACCAUGGGANUGGGUUUUGCCAGAAGUAGUUAGCCUAACCGCAUAGGAGGCCGANUACCACGGCAGGGNUCAUGACUGGGGUGAAGUCGCAACAAGGUAGCCGUAUCGGAAGUG
rnacentral:rRNA from 1 species